rnacentral:lncRNA from 1 species
CCCCUGAGCCCUCUUCUGGGUUGGAAAUGGAAUGUCCUUCUCCCCACCCUACCCCAUAUUUUUCGUGGUUCCUUUCAGGUCUCCUCCUCCCCUACAGAGAAGCCCCAGCGGGAUGCCAUCACUGCUCAGACAGCAUCAAGGACCAGAGGGCAGGGCCGGAUGGCUGGGGCAGGAGGCAGGGUGAGCAAGGCCCCCUGAGGGCCGCCAGCCCUCCUGCUUGUCUCGCUGGUGCCAUGAUGGGCUCACAGAGCCACCAACGGAGUGACAGCAGAAAGUUCUGCUCCCACGGAGAGCAGCACUCCACAGCUGCCCACACCCGAGUCCUACAGCCCAGGGAGCGCAGGCACACUGUCCUUGUCUCAGUGCACUGCACAGAAAGGGCCAACCAGCUGGAGAUGACGGCCAUUGUAUCUGCAGAGCAUGCGUGGGCUUGUGAGGGACGAGAAGCUCCAGGGCUCACCCUGGCAGCUGUGCCAGUGACACAGGCCCCUGUGGGACAGGGCAGGGACGGCCUGGAACUCUGUGAGCAUGGCGCUGUGCCUCCGGGCCUGGCAGCCAGCCAUCCCGGGCCGGGUGCCGGGGUGCAGGCCUCAGCCCUUGGCGUGCGGCAUGGCCUGGCCGCCCUGCUCUGCUGGAGCUCCAAGCUGCAUGCGGCCUGGCCGUGCCGCACCCAUGGCCUGUGCUUUCAUUAUUCGUUUCGAAUGAGCACCUGGAAAAAAGCUUCUCGCCCUGGCCUUGGUCCUCACAUGUGCCAGGGAGCUGUGAGAGUGCUGGCGUGUUCCCCAAGAGCAGCAACACAUGAAUGUACCACACUGCCAGAUUGUCUCAAUUCACCAGUGCUCCUUUUUCCUGGACUUGUGAGCCUCAAGUCUCUCCUACCUCAAGUCAUUCCCUAAAACCAAAUUUUACAAUGAGUAUUGACCACAAGGCUACUGCCAGCAGCUGGGGAGAAGCAAUCCCUGAUACUGGAGGCAGAUAGUGCUCUCCUGCCUUGCCUUCCCUUAGCUAUGGCUCGUCAUUUAUUUGGGAACAGUGCAUGCUCCAACAAAGGAGAUUUUAUCCUGAAGUACUCACUCUCUCCUAUUUAUCAGACUUCAAAAAUUAACAGAGAUAGCAGCAAGAGAUAUGGCACUGACACAGUGGAAGGAGAGUG